GACGAACGCUGGCGGCGUGCUUAACACAUGCAAGUCGAACGGAAAGGCCCUGCUUUUGUGGGGUGCUCGAGUGGCGAACGGGUGAGUAACACGUGAGUAACCUGCCCUGGACUGUGGGAUACCUUCAGGAAACUGGGGCUAAUACCGGAUAGGAGCUCCUGCUGCAGGGGGGUGGCUGGAAAGUUUCGGCGGUUGGGGAUGGACGUGGGGCUUAUCAGCUUGUUGGUGGGGUAGUGGCUUACCAGGGCUUUGACGGGUGGCCGGCCUGAGAGGGUGACCGGCCACAUUGGGCCUGAGGUACGGCCCAGAGUCCUACGGGAGGCAGCAGUGGGGAAUCUUGCACAAUGGGCGGAAGCCUGAUGCAGCAACGCCGCGUGCGGGAUGACGGCCUGCGGGUUGUAAACCGCUUUCGCCUGUGACGAAGCGUUAGUGACGGUAAUGGGUAAAGAAGCACCGGCUAACUACGUG
rnacentral:rRNA from 1 species